rnacentral:lncRNA from 1 species
CAGGUGACUAUUAAAAUACCAAGCACUUUUUGCGUGACAGAUUUUUAUUUCUUGCCGCUGUCCAUCUGUCCCCAGGUGCACUUCUCUGAGAAAGUUACAGUCCAUUUCCUUGCUGUCUGGGCAGGACCAGCCCAGGCUGCUCGUCGAGGCCCCUGGGAGCAGUUUGCACGAGAUCGAAGCCGCUUUGCUCGACGCAUUGCCCAGGCAGAGGAGCAGCUGGGUCCUUACCUUACCCCUGCUUUCAGGGCCAGAGCAUGGACACGCCUUAGAAACCUACCCCUUCCUCUGUCGUCCUCGUCUCUUCCACUGCCUGAGCCUUGCUCUUCCACUGAGGCCACACCCCUCAGCCAAGAUGUGACCACUCCCUCUCCCCUUCCCAGUGAAAUCCCUCCUCCCAGCCUGGACUUGGGAGGAAGGCGGGGCUAAGCCUGAGUAGUUUUUUGUUAUUUAUUUAUUUUAAUACGAAAUAAAGCCUUUUGAUUUGU